rnacentral:lncRNA from 1 species
CUGGGAAACAGCAAGCACCCUUACCUGCUGAGUCAUCUCUCCAGCCCGAAGCACCAUCAAAUCAUGACAGAACGGAAGGAAUUCCAAGAGACCAAUCAGUAGAAGGACCUUAUUAAUGCACACCUACGUCGCUUCACGAAAACGGCCAGCAGAGGGCGCGCGUGGCCUUUGACUAACGGUUGAUUCCUAGCCCAGGGUCACAAACGAAAUGAUCCAGGGAGGUGAUUUACAUUCCUAGCACAGUUCAUAGAGAAAACCAAAGGCCAAGCUACAUGGAAUGAAAAUCUCCGAUUUGGGCUUAUCUCAACGUCACAUGUAACAUACAGACAGCACCAACGCAGAUGCUGGUCCUUCCUUUACCAGACUCCCGUGGACCUGCAACGGUCGUUGUCGCUUUGGAGGAAUCGUCUUCAAGCUAAGGCCUGCCUGUGUUUGGUGAGCUCUGUCCCUGGAGAGUCUCUGCCUAGCAGGAGAAGGGGCCAGGAGUCUCCGGAACCUUAAAGAAAACCAUCAGCCCAGAAGACAAGCAUUUUCUGUGACUUGUGAGUACUGGAGGUGAGGAAGACUUGAGCCACAGACCAAAAGAAAGGUCCCCUGCUUCAGUCAUCAUCUUCCUAGCUGAAGAGAAGAGCCUUGCCCCUGGGACCCAAGAGAGAGCCUUGAGGGGACCACCAGGAAAGGAAGAAGACCACAGCAGGCGGUUCACAGAGGAGCCAAGCUGCUCACUUCCGGGCAGCCAGGAAGUAAAGAACAAGGAAGGGGCUUGGCACAGUACACUUCAAAGGCCUCUAACUGCUUCCUCCAACACCCUGAGUUCUACCACCUUCCAAUGACACCUUCAUAUUACAGCCCAUCAGUGGGCUGACCCGUUGGUUAGCUGGGAAUCUUCAUGAGCUGUCUUCCACAAAGCCUCACCUCUGGGUGUAAGCCCUCAAGGCAUGAUGAGCCUUGGGCUGUAGGGGCUUAAGAUGCAAGUCAGAACGCCAGCAGACAGUUAGGGAACCUGAGCAAACC